UACGUAGGGUGCGAGCGUUGUCCGGAAUUAUUGGGCGUAAAGAGCUCGUAGGCGGUUUGUCACGUCUGCUGUGAAAUCCCGAGGCUCAACCUCGGGCCUGCAGUGGGUACGGGCAGACUGGAGUGCGGUAGGGGAGAUUGGAAUUCCUGGUGUAGCGGUGGAAUGCGCAGAUAUCAGGAGGAACACCGGUGGCGAAGGCGGGUCUCUGGGCCGAUACUGACGCUGAGGAGCGAAAGCGUGGGGAGCGAACAGG
rnacentral:rRNA from 1 species